GCCUCGGCUUGCUCAGCAAGUGCCUUUGUCUGGUGAAUCAUCUCAAAGGCCCUGCUCAAGCAAUCUAGAUGUCGAAAUCAUCCAAUAAAUGUUUUCCAGGAUACAAGAAUGAAUACCGACAUCGGGAUUUCUCUCCCAAACAAAUCUUAGGGUGUGUGACGGUUGGUUUUGAUCGUCAAGGUUAGGAAAUGCCCUGGAGGUUAUUAAAGCUCACUUCUGGGGCGCUUCUAUAGUGACGUUUGCACACAGUUAGACUCCAAGGCUGCUGAUUUAAUCAAUGGAUUUGUCCCUCGAUGGAUUCAUAGUCGGGUGGCAAUGGUGGGACCUGGUGGGCGGCAGAAGGCCAAAGAGGGUGAGCCAUGGGGUUGUCCCCUGGGGUCUUCUAUCUUGCUGACCUCUCCCUGAGUUCACUCUCUCCCUACGCUCCCUCCACCAGAGCUGCUAGCGACAGAGUCCAGGCCUUGGCUCCCACACCAAUAAAGAGACAAUAGUGAAAAGAGAAAGUCGUAGAUGUAUUUAGCACGACUGCAGUGGGAAGAGAAACAAAUGACUGAGUCCCUGCCCUGCCCGUUCUGGGGAAGUAGAAGUGUUUUCAGUCUUGGUGGACUGCAGCAACAGUAGCCCCGACACAGACAGCAUGUGGAGGCCCCACUGCGUGGGUUCGGCUGGGUGUGGUCAGAGUCCUUGGGCCAAGCAGGCUGUGUUCAACCAGCAAGAGCAGCUCAAGCUGCCAGAGGACGGCUUUGCUGGCGGUCUCUCUUUCUUGGCACCACCACACUUUUUGCACAGUGGCUUGUCUGUAAAGUCACCACUAGGAACAUAGAUGCGUCUCCUCUCUAUCCAGCGCAGGCCAGAAAGACCCCCUCCUGCCGGGGAUGAGGGCUAGCAUGCACAUUACCAUUUCCGUGUGCACACUCCUUCCCAGACCUUGGUGGGGAGGAGACCUGCUUCCAAACUGUUCAAGGCUGAGACCUCACCAGCAGAGGGCAGGGAAACCAAGGAAGCUAUGCGUAUUACUUGCCUGUAGCAUUUAAAAAAUGUCAUUUGAAUUAGAAAGCAAGAGGGAAUCUCGAGAAUAUUGGACAAAAAGCUGUCAAGAGCUGCCUCCGCCCUGCUCCAUUCUUGCCCCUGUUCUGAGGUGUUGUGCAUCUAGCUGGUUCCUGGCACACCCUAACAGGUGUUCCACCUCUGGGCUACAGCCGCAGCCUGAGGUGUAGGACUUUAACAUGCUUCAUUUUAUUUUUAUGUGUGUGGCUCUUUAACCGCCGAACCAUUCUUAUAGCACCAUAUGACUCUUUUUUUUUUUUUUUUGGUUUUAGGAGACAGGGUUUCUCUGUAUUGUUUUGGAGGCUGUUGGUACAGCCCGGCCUCGAACUCACAGAGAUCUGCCUGCCUCUGCCUCCCGAGUGCUGGGAUUAAAGUCGUGUGCCACCACCACCCGGCUGCAUCAUAUGACUCUUAAGAGCACAAGAACUCUCAGUAGCAAGGGUUUGGUGGUGUUGCAGGAGGGUUCUGCUACUCGGGGUCUCAGACAAGUUCUGGCGUGAGGUGGGAAACCGAGGACCUGGAGAAGGGCGUCCCCUCAGCCCAGGUGUGAGAACAAGGGACUGUUGAAGGCUCUGCUAGCUCCUCUACCGGUGUCCAGCUCCGAGAGCACUGGGGAGGAGGCGGCGGAAAGAAUGUGAGGACCAAAGGGUGUGCUAGAGUGUUGCAAUACCCUCUUCCAGGCACGGUGUGAUUCUUGUACUCUAACUCUUAGCAGAUGGGCCAACCCACCUGCACAAGGCCGGCAGAAGGAUCGAACCCAGGUCCUUGGCAAAAGUAGCCAUUCUCCAGCCCUCUAGUGAGCCUUUCUUUGCUCAGCUUGACCUAUGUAAAAUUGGGAGAGGUGCCCAUCCUGUACCACCAAAACCACUUCAAAGACCCAUGCCCUCCCAGAGGGCUGGGUUUCUGUUUCUGAAGCCCUUCUCCAUUUGUAGGUAUUUCCCAUGCCUGUUGCUGUAUACUGUGCCUGAGAUAUUCUCCCUGUCUUUUAACUUUUUAAUUGGCAGGGAAAAUGAAUCUGAUCAAAACUCUGAGGGUAACUGCAAGCUCACUUUUACCCAGCCCUGGAGCUCCUUUGGGUGAAGACUAUAACCGGACGAGGGCUCAGUAUACCACAUUUUACUUUUGAAUCAUUUUCCCUUCCUCCAUUCUGUUAUAGGCCGUCAGAAUCACCAACCCACACCUGCAGCACGGUGCUCAGUCAUGUCUUUUGCUAAAAAUCAACUCCUUUUCCUGUAAGCUCCGAAAAUACUAGGAAAGGAAGAGAAUCAGAUCAAGUUCUUCACCGCUCUAUAGCAAGGGUAGCCAGUUUCCAGCGGCAUAGUCCCGACUCUGCAACCUCCGAGAGUCUUAGUGACAUUCUCCCCCAGGCUUGUGAUCAUGACCAUGCCAUGUUCUCGGUCUCCUUUAUUCCCUAGUCCUCCCUAGAAUCUCCCUUUAAGGUGACGGAGACUCAAGACAACCAUAUGGUAGUUUGGCUCUGAGGCCUGGGCGCUUCCUCUGGACUCUGCUUUGUCAGUUUAUCAAGAGACCACGCCCUCCAUGUCUGACCAGGCUCCUCACCUGCGUCCUUUAGGUGACAUCUAGGGACCCUGGCCUGACAGAGUUCCCUGCAUCCUGAUGUUUCCUCUUUAGGUUUUCCAUCUGCCAACUCCCUCAUUCCUUGACUCUAAACCCCUAUUCCCUCAUGUUGAAUUGAGAAUUGAGAUCAGUCCCCCCCCUGCCCCUGCCCUGCACCAAACCCUCCUGGGUGGACCCUGUGCUUGUUGGUCGGCCUUUAAUAGAGUCGGCCUUGCUACUUUAAUAAGUGUCAUGGAUUAAAUUUAUCUGUCUCUUUGUGAAUUCAUUCUAUUGCUCAGGCUGUCCAUCCUCGUGCCUCAGUCUCCGGAAUGAUCAGGUUAUAGCUGUGUGCUCCAUAUCCCACUAAUUUCCCUUUAACAAGGUUCUGCCUGUAGCUGGGAAAUCUCUGUCACCCCAUUCCCACAUAUCAGACGUCUGUUACAGUCUCACCCCACAGCUGACACCAGUUUGCCCAGUCCUUCAGACUUCCACUUUGCAACAACACUAAGACUGGGCAGUGAUAGCCCACAGGAACUGGUGACCCCAAGCUCUGGAGCCCGCAAGUCCAAGAUGUAAGCGUCUGCAGAUCGAGGACCUGGCAAGGGGCUUGCCCCCACAUAGCAGAAGGGGCAGAAGGCUCUUGGGGUUCUGUUUAGUGACCGUUUCCAGUGCCUACCCCACUCCAUCCUUGGGCGGGACACAAACAGGGCUGGGUCCAGGCUGAACACUCCCACAGAUGACUCGGGAAGAGUGGUCUGCGCUGCACACUGCUGAUGCCACAGAGGGGACAGGAAGACAGCAGUGGCACAAAACGGACUUUGCUCCUUUCCCCGAUUUCGACCAAGAAUCCUCCUCUGCCUAGAAGCAGGUGCCAUCCCAGGAGUCCUUGAGCCCUGGGAUGGAUGCUGCCAUGCUCCAGGAGUUACUGCCCAGAACACCUGCCAACACCGAGAUCCUCCGCUCUGCCGUUGACUUUGCCUGGAGGGGCUUUUUGACCUUCACGUGAAGGGCCCAGCCCCUCCCCCAGCCCCUGCCUUGCUUCCACACAGGCUGCAGAAAAGACCCAGUAAGACACAGGCCCCUGACUCAGCAACAGGGGCUGAGCCCCAACCUUGCCCUGAUCACUAGGAAGUCAGACAUCCUCCACGCGGCAAGGAACCAAUCAGAAGUCAGCUGGUGGGCUCUGGAUGUGCUUUACUGACAAUAGUGGAAGGCAGGGCAUAGCAACUGCCCUGGGAUGGCCUCCAGGCACAGCAACCUUUCUGUAGCUGCAGCUGACCAAUCAACCCAGAGGAACACCAAUCCUGAGACUGUUGCUAUGCAACUAGCAGAUCCCAGACACUCCUCUUGCUCUAUCCCCAACAUAUGCCCUGCCCCACUGCUGCUUGGGGUCCCUCCUACUCCACCUGCUGUGUUGGACAGACAUAGGACCUGAGUUAACCUCAGUUAAGUCGUUAAUAAAAAAGGACUCUUUGCUUUUGCAUCGGAA